rnacentral:rRNA from 1 species
UACGUAGGGGGCGAGCGUUGUCCGGAUUUAUUGGGCGUAAAGAGCGUGUAGGCGGUUCGGUAAGUCUGUCGUGAAAUCCUGAGGCUCAACCUCGGGCGUGCGAUGGAUACUGCCGGGCUAGAGGAUGGUAGAGGCGAGUGGAAUUCCCGGUGUAGCGGUGAAAUGCGCAGAUAUCAGGAAGAACACCUAUGGCGAAGGCAGCUCGCUGGGACGGUACUGACGCUGAGGCGCGAAAGCGUGGGGAGCAAACAGG